UACGUAGGGAGCAAGCGUUGUCCGGAAUCAUUGGGCGUAAAGCGCGCGUAGGUGGCUUCGUAAGUCCGUUGUGAAAGUCAAAGGCUCAACCUUUGAAAGCCGAUGGAUACUGCGGAGCUAGAGUACGGAAGAGGCGAGUGGAAUUCCUGGUGUAGCGGUGAAAUGCGCAGAUAUCAGGAGGAACACCGGUGGCGAAGGCGGUGGUCUGGGCUGGCACUGACGCUGAGGAGCGAAAGCGUGGGUAGCAAACAGG
rnacentral:rRNA from 1 species